UGAAACCAAUUUGGCUUAGUGAGAAAAUAAACAAAGAGAUUUAAAAGGGCAUUUAAAUUAUAUAAAUUGGACAAAUUGGGGGAAUUCUAUUAAAAGACAGCAAUUUAUACAAAAUGCAAUUAGUGUGGCUAAACUAGAAAAUGAGAAAUUGAUAGCCAAAGAGAGCAAAACCAACCCCCAAUUUAAAUUCUUUAAUUCUGACUCAGCAUAAAAAUUAAAUGUUACAGAAUUGAGAACAAAGAAGGCAACAAAUGCAUAUCAUUAUAGACUUGUGUAAUAUUAUAUAACAGACAUGUAGACUUUCUUAUUGUAGCCAUGGGUAGUGGGAAUCAGCGUUAAUUCGUAAGCCUGGGAGUCUGUAGGCAUGGUCUUAUAGCCGGUGUGUCCGGCGUUGCUAAGGGCUCUUAGGCUGAUGGAUCUACUGACAUAGUGAUGUAGGUAUGGUCCUGUUACCAUGCUAGCGUAGCUAGGGAGCAUGAUUUCUGGUGUGUGGGCUGUUAAACAACAUGCUCUUUAAAGUGAACCCCAUUACCCAGGAGGGGGAGGUGGACGUUAAACUACUUGCAGAUAAGCACAGUGGAGAAAGAAGAAGAGUCCCGAACGACAUGCCCGUGUAAUCAUAGGGCUGUUAAGAGGUAAGCAUCAGGUGGCUUUAAGUACUUCUGGUGCCAGUCGAUGUUCCUGCUCCAGCCUGUUGGGGGGCGAAUGGUGUCGCUGUCGGUGGGUCAUUUGUUGCUGGCCGUGCCGCCGGGUGGGUUGGUCCCGCAAUGGGUAGGGUGUCCUGUUGGAGCCCAAGGGUUGGCAGGAGAUCCCUGGCCCCUUGCAUGUCGUGGACCUUGUGUGCAGUGUCGCCAUGGUGGAUCAAGAGCGCCCAGGGUCGCCUCCAGUGGUAGGUAAUUUUAUGCAGACAAAGAAGGGCCCUGAAGGGUUUCAAACUGCGGCGCCACGCCACAGUCGGCCCUGAUAGGUCCACAUAGAAUGAGAGCUGUCUACCCUCAAACACAUAUGGCGUCUGGGUUCUGGUCGCUUGUAGGACCGCUGAUCUGUCUCCGUGGCUCAGGAAGUGCACCAGGUCUCGGCGCUUGGGCUUUAGCUCGACGUGGGAGGUGGAACAUCCCCCCCCCCCCCAGGGUCGUCUGUUUGGCCUGUUUUGUGGGUAAAAGAGCGUCCAGCAGGCGCAAUAUGAAGUGCAGUACCUCUGCCUCCGGUAUCUCCUCACCGAGACCCAUGAUCUUGAGGUUCAGGCUUCUCCUCUGAUCUUCCAGUUCUGCGAAUCGCUGGUCUGUUGUGUGGGUCAGCUGUUGCAGGUCGUGCACAGCUUUGCGUAGCCGCACUGUCUCCUCCGUGUUUUGGCGGCCUGUCAGGCCAUGUUCGCCUGUAUGGUGAGUUGAAGCCCCGCUAGCAAUUCUUUCAUCACCGCUGUGGUCACAGGAGAGUUGUCUAUUGAGGGUGAGUCUGGAGAGGAGCUGUCAAGAUGGGUGAGUGGUGUAGUUCAGCCCCGCUAGUGAAAUUGUCCGACAUUUCGGAGUAGUCGUCGGCGUAGUCAGCCAUGUUUGUGCCUGUGUUGUUGCAGGCCUGCCGCCAUAGAUCUCCGAUAUUUCCGCUCAGCCGAGGUUUAUUGGGCUUGGCCUUUUUAGUUUUCCAGCCCAUCUUUUCACUCCUCGUUAGCGGUGCUGGUUGGUGCACUUUGUAAGGGUUUUGUGCCGUGUUAGAGGGUCUAAUGUGGUGGUUUGGUCCGGAGCUUCGGUUGCAUGCGGCCAUUCAGGUCCGUGGCUUGGCUCCGUUCAACCCCUCCCCCCCCCCAAUUGUUUUUAACCCCUUAAAGAUACAUGACGUGUGGCAUGUCAUGAUUCCUUUUUAUUCCAGAAGUUUGGUCCUUAAGGGGUUAAGUACAUAAAUUCUAAAAAAUAAAUAAAAUGAAAGUGUACGCUGAAAACAGAGAUGUGAGUGUUUAGUUAAUGAAGACCAGGAAAGGGCAAAAAUGUUAAAUAACUAUAUUUCCUCAGUAUAUAUUAUGGAGAAUCCUGUGGCAAGAGAAAUGCAGAAAAAUUGUUAUUGAAUGACUCAGGACAAAGUGCUACAGCGACUAAACAAGGUUAAUGUAACUAACUCUCCAGGGCCUGAUGGUAUUCACUACUUAAGGAGCUAAGUGUGGAAAUAAGUGAACCUUUGUAGUUAAUCUUUCAAGAUUCCUUUUUUUUACAGGAAUUAUACUGGAGGAUUGGAGGAAGACAGGUGUGGUUCCUAUAUUAAAAAAUCUUCAAAAUCAUUGCCUGUAAAUUAUAGACCUGUGAGCUUCACUCAGUGACUGAGAAAGUGUCACAUGUCAUCUGCAUAUAAAAAUGUGGUUAAUGGCAUUUACCGUCCUGACAGGAAAAGUUGUGCUGAGCAACAUUACUGUCCUGACAGGAAAAGUUGUGCAGAGCAACAAUACUGUCAUGGAAACCUGGUAAUUACUUUUGGGGUCAAAGGCCGGUCAUGGCUAAUCAAAUCCACAGGAGGGUUUUGUGCUGAGCAGCAAUCAAGCACAUUUAAACCUGGUAAUUGCCUUUGGGGUCAAAAACCAGUUACAGCCAAUUGGAUCCACAUGAGGGGUAUUUAAACCCAGCUCUCCUCUUUAGACCCGCAUUACGACAUGGCCAUAGAUCCUGCAGAAUUGUGUCAGAACAUAGCAGCUUGUGAGAGAAAGCUAGAGGAGAAUGAUCAUCGUAUGGAUCAAUUUGCCCAGGCUUUUAGCACGCUCCUUACUAGGACGGCUCAUUUACAACCUGAGGCUUCUCUAAUUAUGUCACCACUGCCUAAUGUACCUCCACCUAUAGUAUGUAAGGCACCUACGAUCUCCUUAUCUCCUCCCCUACAUUUUUCUGGUAAUAUCCAGGAAUGUAGGGGAUUUCUCAAUCAGAUUGAGUACCACUUUGAGGCCUCACCUGGUUCAUUUCCUACAGAUAGAGCUAAGAUUGGGUAUGAACAAACUUAAAGGUAAGGCCUUAACCUGGGCUAAUCCAUUGUGGGAAAGUAAUAGGUGUAUCGCUCAUUGUUACCAGGAAUUCCUGGCGGAAUUCAAAACUGAUGUUUGAACCAUUUGGCAGAGAGGAAGACACCUCCACUGCUCUAAUGCAUAUCAAACAAGGGAACCGGUCUAUCUCGGAUUAUGCCAUAUAAUUUUGUACCUUGGCAUCUGAGGUAGACUGGACUAACAACCGAUUAAUCACUGCUUUUAAAAAAGGAUUAUCCAAAGUUAUAUUUGAUGAAAUUGCUGCCAAAGACCUACCUAAGAGGUUAAAUGACUUUAUUACCUAUGUGAUGCAGAUCAAUAAUAGACUCAGGACCAAGGAAAUUAGUAAAACAGAACUAGACUUUUGACUAUGUCACUAGCACCUCGAUUCUCCAAACUUGUUGUCCCUGACCUCUCGAUGCGAUCUGAACCUGAACCGAUGCAGUUAGGGGUUACAGGACUGUCAGAGGCAGAGAAACAGUAUAGGAGAAGAGAGAGUCUGUGCUUAUAUUGUGGCAAGAAAGGGCAUAUGAGAGAUGCUUGUCCUAUAUGUCCGGAAAACUUACGCACCUAAGAACCUUAAAGGGACACUAUAGUCACCCCGACCACUUCAGCUCAAUGAAGUGGUCUGGGUGCCAGGUCCCCCAGGUUUUAACCAUUCAGAUGCAAACAUAGCGGUUUCAGAGAAACUGCUAUGUUUGCAUUUGGGGUUAAUCCAGCCUCUAAGGGCUGUCUCACGG